UACGGGGGGGGCAAGCGUUGUUCGGAAUUACUGGGCGUAAAGGGUCUGUAGGUGGCCAAUUAAGUCAGACGUGAAAUCCCUCAGCUUAACUGGGGAACUGCGUCUGAGACUGGAUGGCUUGAGUGCAGGAGAGGAAUGCGGAAUUCCAGGUGUAGCGGUGAAAUGCGUAGAUAUCUGGAGGAACACCGGUGGCGAAGGCGGCAUUCUGGACUGCAACUGACACUGAUAGACGAAAGCCAGGGGAGCAAACGGG
rnacentral:rRNA from 1 species